rnacentral:rRNA from 1 species
AUUGAACGCUGGCGGCAUGCUUUACACAUGCAAGUCGAACGGCAGCGCGGGCUUCGGCCUGGCGGCGAGUGGCGAACGGGUGAGUAAUGCAUCGGAACGUGCCCAGUAGUGGGGGAUAGCCCGGCGAAAGCCGGAUUAAUACCGCAUACGACCUGAGGGUGAAAGCGGGGGACCGAAAGGCCUCGCGCUAUUGGAGCGGCCGAUGUCGGAUUAGCUAGUUGGUGGGGUAAAGGCUUACCAAGGCGACGAUCCGUAGCUGGUCUGAGAGGACGACCAGCCGCACUGGGACUGAGACACGGCCCAGACUCCUACGGGAGGCAGCAGUGGGGAAUUUUGGACAAUGGGGGCAACCCUGAUCCAGCCAUGCCGCGUGCGGGAAGAAGGCCUUCGGGUUGUAAACCGCUUUUGUUCGGGAAGAAAUGCUCUGGGCUAAUACCCCGGGGGGAUGACGGUACCGGAAGAAUAAGCACCGGCUAACUACGUG